rnacentral:rRNA from 1 species
UGGGGAAUAUUGCACAAUGGGCGCAAGCCUGAUGCAGCCAUGCCGCGUGUGUGAAGAAGGCCUUCGGGUUGUAAAGCACUUUCAGCGAGGAGGAAGGGUAGUGUGUUAAUAGCACAUUGCAUUGACGUUACUCGCAGAAGAAGCACCGGCUAACUCCGUGCCAGCAGCCGCGGUAAUACGGAGGGUGCAAGCGUUAAUCGGAAUUACUGGGCGUAAAGCGCACGCAGGCGGUUUGUUAAGUCAGAUGUGAAAUCCCCGCGCUUAACGUGGGAACUGCAUUUGAAACUGGCAAGCUAGAGUCUUGUAGAGGGGGGUAGAAUUCCAGGUGUAGCGGUGAAAUGCGUAGAGAUCUGGAGGAAUACCGGUGGCGAAGGCGGCCCCC